GCAUAUCUAUAAGCGGAGGAAAAAGAAAACCAACAGGGAUUGCCCCAGUAACGGCGAGUGAAGCGGCAACAGCUCAAAUUUGAAAUCUGGCCCCCAGGGGUCCGAGUUGUAAUUUGUAGAGGAUGCUUUUGGCAAGGCGCCGCCCGAGUUCCCUGGAACGGGACGCCGCAGAGGGUGAGAGCCCCGUCUGGCUGGCCGCCGAGCCUCUGUAAAGCUCCUUCGACGAGUCGAGUAGUUUGGGAAUGCUGCUCAAAAUGGGAGGUAUAUGUCUUCUAAAGCUAAAUACUGGCCAGAGACCGAUAGCGCACAAGUAGAGUGAUCGAAAGAUGAAAAGCACCUUGAAAAGAGGGUUAAAUAGUACGUGAAAUUGUUGAAAGGGAAGCGCUCGUGACCAGACUUGGGCGCGGCGGAUCACCCGGGGUUCUCCCCGGUGCACUUCGCCGCGCCCAGGCCAGCAUCAGUUCGUCGCGGGGGAUAAAGGCUCCGGGAACGUGGCUCCUCCGGGAGUGUUAUAGCCCGCUGCACAAUACCCUGCUUUGGACUGAGGACCGCGCAUCUGCAAGGAUGCUGGCGUAAUGGUCACCGGCGACCCGUCUUGAAACACGGACCAAGGAGUCGUCUUCGUAUGCGAGUGUUCGGGUGUCAAACCCCUACGCGGAAUGAAAGUGAACGCAGGUGAGAGCUUCGGCGCAUCAUCGACCGAUCCUGAUGUUCUCGGAUGGAUUUGAGUAAGAGCAUACGGGGCCGGACCCGAAAGAAGGUGAACUAUGCCUGUAUAGGGUGAAGCCAGAGGGAAACUCUGGUGGAGGCUCGCAGCGGUUCUGACGUGCCAAAUCGAUCGUCAAAUAUGGCAUGGGGGCGAAAGACUAAUCGAAAUCUUUCUAGUAGCUGGAUUUACGACGAAG
rnacentral:rRNA from 1 species